rnacentral:lncRNA from 1 species
GCACCAUCUGGUAGAUAAGGAGGAGGACCAGGCGGAAGUGGUGGUCUCAUCAUUGGUGGAGGACCAGGAGGAGGUCCGAAAGGUGGUCUUGGCAUAAGCGAGAGCAUGACUCCAGGUGGAGCAGGAUGGCUGGCAAUUCCAGGUGGUGGCCGCAUGUCAGUCGGGGGUGGGGGUGGAGGGAACCGAGGAAGUCCAGGAGGUUGGCAAUUCCAGGUGGUGGCCGCAUCUCUGCCGUGGGUGGGGGUGGAGGGAACCGAGGAAGUCCAGGAGGUAAUACAUCAUUAUGCAAAGUUGGGACCAUGGCAGCUCCAGGGACUGAAGGCUGUUGCCUUGGAGGUGGUGGAGGUGGCAGUGGCAAUCUAACAUGAUCUUUUGACUCUGAGGAAGCUUUAGCAUCAGAUUCAACAGAUGUGCCAUCUGACUUCAAUGGCAAGCCCAGUGGAGGAGGAGGCUGAGCAAGCACAGUGUGGACCCAUGAAAAAGCGAAGAUAUCAUCAAUAGAAAAAAACAUUAUACACAUCUUCAUGAAUUCCAAAGAGGAACUCCCUCAAACAUAUACUUUAAGUUAGUGAGAAGACAAGAAGUAGAAGGCUAGACUACCUGCAUUAGUUCUACGGAAGCUGGAUUGUCCAGGUUAUUUCUAUCCCUUUCACUUCCACCAGUGCCGGGAGGAGGAGGUUGAGCAGAUGGCUGAAAGGGAGGUGCGGGAGGUGGAGGAAGUGGAAGAUGAACAGCAACCUGUUCUUUUGGUGGGGGCCCAGGAGGUGGUGGGGGCAAAGGAGGCAGUGGCAAUGAAGUGCUCAUCUCUGUCACAGGCUUUGGGGGCAUAGGAGGUGGAGGUGGUAAAGGUAAAGAUGCAGGCAUUGCAGGCACAUCCACAGAAUCUGCAUCACCAUUCUGGGGUAAUGGAGGUGGUGGAGGUGGCGGAGGAAGAGUUGAUAAGCUUCCAUCUUCUCCAUCCAAUUGUAACGAUGAUGCUGUACCGCUUGAUGAAGCGGCAGAUAAUGGCACUCGAGAUCC